rnacentral:rRNA from 1 species
CCUACGGGUGGCAGCAGUGGGGAAUAUUGGGCAAUGGAGGCAACUCUGACCCAGCAACGCCGCGUGAAUGAUGAAGGUUUUCGGAUUGUAAAGUUCUUUUCUCAGGGAAGAAGAAAGUGACGGUACCUUAGGAAUAAGCCUCGGCUAACUACGUGCGAGCAGCCGCGGUAAUACGUAGGAGGAAAGCGUUAUCCGGAAUGACUGGGCGUAAGGGGGGCGUAGGGGGUUCUGCAAGUCAGUAGCGUAACUCCGUGGCUCAACCUCGGCACUACUACGGAAACUGUUGGACUUGAGUACAGGAGGGGCAACUGGAAUUCCUAGUGUAGCGGUGAAAUGCGUAGAUAUUAGGAGGAACACCAGUGGCGAAGGCGGGUUGCUGGACUGUAACUGACGCUGAGGUACGAAAGCGUGGGGAGCAAACAGGAUUAGAUACCCUAGUAGUC